AGUGAACGCUGGCGGUAGGCCUAACACAUGCAAGUCGAACGGCAGCACAAGAGAGCUUGCUCUCUGGGUGGCGAGUGGCGGACGGGUGAGGAAUACAUCGGAAUCUACUCUGUCGUGGGGGAUAACGUAGGGAAACUUACGCUAAUACCGCAUACGACCUACGGGUGAAAGCAGGGGACCUUCGGGCCUUGCGCGAUUGAAUGAGCCGAUGUCGGAUUAGCUAGUUGGCGGGGUAAAGGCCCACCAAGGCGACGAUCCUUAGCUGGUCUGAGAGGAUGAUCAGCAACACGGGAACGGAGGCACGGCCCAGACUCCUACGGGAGGAAGCAUUGGGGAAUAUUGGACAAGGGGCGCAAGCCUGAUGCAGCCAUACCGCGUGGGUGAAGAAGGCCUUCGGGUUGUAAAGCCCUUUUGUUGGGAAAGAAAUCCAGCUGGCUAAUACCCGGUUGGGAUGACGGUACCCAAAGAAUAAGCACCGGCUAACUUCGUGCCAGCCGCCGCGGUAA
rnacentral:rRNA from 1 species